rnacentral:rRNA from 1 species
CAGUCAUACCAACGGGAAAUCAACCUUUUGAGCUCGGUCUCGUGGGUUUUGAAGAGUUUCAAAGCCUUCGGAUUCGCGGGAUUGGGAUCUCUCGGUGUACUUUCUCGUACGGUUAGUCAACAUCGGUUUUGAAUGUCAUAAAAUGACUGGAGGAAUGUAGCUUCGAUCUCGUAUUGAAGUGUUAUAGCCUUUGGUAGAUGUGAUGUUUGAGACCGAGGAUUGCAACGGAUACCCUUCAGGGCUAUUCGUCUGAUCUCUGAUACGUUGCCCUGAUGUUGAAAGCUUGCUUAUGAUGUUAGGGUAUUACGGUCAAAAGGUUAGAACUCAUUAGA